UGGUGGUUGCGGCAGUGGCAGAGCAGUGUCUGAGAGCGCGGUGCAAGCAGUGGCCCCUGCUAUGUGGGCUGAUGGGAGCACACCGUCCAAGCAGCACUUCAAGUCUGACAAUGUCCCCUCUACACCAAGGUAGGUGGGCACUCGUGCAAAGAUCUAACAUCUUCACCGACUAGGACUAAGGAAGGAAUGAGCCCGGAGCUCGACACCCCAUCCAAUGGGCUUAAGUCUUAAGAAACUUCAGUGCAUACUUAACAUGGAGCAGCCUAUGGACAAUGAUUGCUUCAACACCGUCGUGCGUAUACUGGCAUGUGACGAGGGAGUAUUGUUCAUAGACCCUCCUAUAUACACUACAUGGAUCUAAGAUUUUGUUCCAAGAUGCUAGAGUCAACACGAGGUCAGAAGUUUUGCGAGAAGGAAACUAUCCAGACGUUGGCGACAUCAUUUGAUAGCUGGCCUGGGAUGGACAACGACAUCUCAACGUGCAACAUGGUAAGUAAAGUAUUUUGUCUAUUGUUAUCAUGGUUUAUUGUUGUUUCUAAUAGCUCCACUUGUAGAUUUAUCUUCCCUAUGCAUCCAUCGGCCGAUACAUCUUGUAUGUCAUCGACAAAGAGGCACGUCGUCUAUAUAUUAUGGACCUUAUUCAAACAUCACAAUCGUCAGCGGAUAAAAAUUUGAGGCAUGCACUGAAAUUAAAAAGUUUUGCAAGAGAUUCCAAAGAAGCACUUGAAAUAAAGCUGCCUGGUUGGAAUUCCGAUAUAUCUAAAUGGAAACCUUUGUUUCCGUUUGGUAUUCCAACGAGUAUAUACGGGUAAUGAAUUCAUAAUAAAAACAUUUAUUUUUGUUAUCACUAUAUUCUUAUUAUUAAUUUAAAAAAUUGUAGGAAUGUGUCUGGCUAUUUUGUUUUUCAUUUUAUGCUCUGGUGGAACGGUAAUAAAUUGGUAAGCCGGUUUGCGCGGUGAGUAUUGUUUUAAGACCUUCGGCGUGAAAUUUUCAUACUAACUACAUAUAUUGUUUGUGCAGGAUGGGUAUGAGUUGAGGAAGCGGUUUUUAUUAUACUUGCUAAAACAUCAUGAGAGUGAAGCUAAAGACAACUUUCUUGAUAUUGUGAAAGAAUUUCUUAAGUGCAUCAUCUAGAUAUGGAUAGUUUUGUAAUAGAUGUUUAGUUGGAACAUCACUUAGUUUGUUACAUGGACAUGUCGUUAAUCUUUCUUUUUGUUAUCAAUUUACAUUGCAAAUAUGGGCUUCAAUUAUUUAAUAAUUGUGUUUGUGUUAUAUUGUUUAUACAUUUGUAGUUUAACAUGUAACUCUUGCAAAAUAUUUCAAGAGCCCGUGGCAACGCACGGGCACUCU